AACUUUUGCAAGUUCCCGCAAUUUCAUCGCAUGCAUAAAAUUGCAUAGAUAUCCCGCAUAUAUCGCAUUUUUUUAAGAAAACGUGCUGCAUAAUCAAGAAUUUUUGCCCACAACAAUCAUAACAAAACUUAUUUUUCUGGAAAGACUGACUAAUACUAUUAUGGUGCACUUUAAAGCUGCUCAUAAAGUUCCUUAAAGGGCCAACCUUGCUGUACUGUAUGAUUUUUAUGAAUAUUCCGAGAUUCAUCAGGUAACAAUGCAUCUGAUUGCAAAGCAUGAGAUGCAUACCUACCUCAACAGGGCAUGUGUGAACCCCCCCGACUUAUCUUACCCAGUCUAGUAAUCAGGAGUGACUGAGAAACUAUACUAAUACAUUAUUUGCACGUGCAUUAAUUGAUGAAUUAGAGGCGGAGGAUCAUUCUCCAACCUGUCUCUGUCCUUGCUGAAAAUGUCCCAGACCAACAUCG